rnacentral:ncRNA from 2 species
UCACCCCGCGGGGGAGAGUCCUCGCGCAUUGCGCGGGGCGCCGAAGGGGCAAAUCUCCCCGGAACCUCUCAGGCGCCAGGACCUCGUGGAUCAG